CGCCGUCGAGAAGAUCUGCGGGUACGAGGUGAAUCUUGCCGCUCCUGCACACAGAAAGCGAUGGAUACCAACAGUGAGGCCGACGUCUCAUGAGCCAAAACAUUGUCACUCAACUAUUUGCGUUUCUUGGCAGAAUUCAGAUAUGCAGCGGCGAGUCAAUGCUCUAGUUUAUGAACGAUUCCUCAGGGAAUUGUUGAAAAUGACCUGUCCUAGAUGAUCCAAGAUGCAAGGUCCAAAAACUACGGUGGAUUUUCCAUGAUGACAUGAUAUAUCACACGACUCCAAUUCAGGCUGAUGCAUGCGGCUUGCCAAUUAUGGAGAGCUUUUCUACGGUCCCUCAGAACAAUCUCAAGAACAUAUGGUUUGCAAUUGCAUACCGUGGUGAUUGGCGAAAAGGUUGCCGGGGUUGAGAGGAUCAGGCUGCGGCUUCCGACGCCGCUUGUU